CCUACGGGUGGCAGCAGUAGGGAAUUUUCGUCAAUGGGCGCAAGCCUGAACGAGCAAUGCCGCGUGAAAGCGGCAGGUCUUCGGAUCGUAAAGGUCUUUUGAAGGGGAAAAAGAGCGGAGAGAGGAAAUGAACUCCGAUUGAUAUUACCCUUCGAGGAAGUCACGGCUAACUACGUGCCAGCAGCCGCGGUAAUACGUCGGUAGCGAGGGUUAUCCGGAAUGAUUGGGCGUCAAGGGUGCGUAGGCGGCCUGCUAAGUUUGGAGUGAAAGGUACCGGAUCAACCGGUACAGGCUCUGGAAACUGGCGGGCUAGAGAGCAGGAGAGGGCGGUGGAACUCCAUGUGUAGCGGUAAAAUGCGUAGAUAUAUGGAAGAAAACCAGUGGCGAAGGCGGCCGCCUGGCCUGUUACUGACGCUGAGGCACGAAAGCGUGAGGAGCAAAUAGGAUUAGAUACCCCAGUAGUC
rnacentral:rRNA from 1 species